UUCAGAGUCUUUUUUUUUUUUUUGUGUUUUCAUCUCGUUUGCCCAAAUCUGCCUUUCUCCAAGAAGCGAAGCUCUCUCAUCCAUGGCGAAAUCAGCGGCGACGGCGGCUUCCUCGCUUGUGCAAAACCUUAGGCGAUACAUUAAGAAGCCAUGGCAGAUCACUGGACCUUGCGCUCACCCGGAAUAUCUCGAAGCUGUGCCCAAGGCGACGGAGUAUCGUCUCCGAUGCCCCGCAACGACUGAUGGAGAGGCGAUCGUGCCCACCUCGGAUCCCGAGACCGUGUACAACAUCGUAUACCACGGCCGAGAUCAGCGCCGAAACCGCCCACCGAUCCGGCGCUACCUAUUGAAGAAGGACAACGUUGUUCAGAUGAUGAAUGAGAAGAAGACGUUCGACGUCUCGGACUUCCCUAACGUUUACCUGACUACCACAGUCGAAGAGGAUUUGGACACGCGUGGCGGAGGCUACGUCAAAUAAACAGGUGAUUGGCCGCAUGAGAAUUAUCAAAUUAUUGGCUUCUGCUUUGAUGUACACUGCUUUAUCAAGUGACUGAAUGACUUUUCGAGUAGGGUGCCGCUGAGUGAAAAUUGUGGUCAUAUGCUAAUGGACUAGUGGAUUUCCUUUGGGACAUUAUUUGUGGUUUCUUUCAUCUCGUCUUUCUCUUGUAAUCUCGUGAUAGGCGAAAGACUGCGUGUGAUAUUUCGUUACUUCCGAUAAAAAAAACCUCUCCCUUGUUUGCCUUAUCUAAUAAAAUUUCUAGUAGCUUUAUAAACUACAAAACACUUCAUUUGCCUUCACAAGAACAAGAUUGUUGUUCAGUCGUAUUCCCUAUGUUUAUGAUGAACCCGUGAUUGUUUCAAGUUUAAGUGAUUUGGAAAUGGUUAUAAAUGUAACACAGAGAGUUAGUAGUCUCUGUGCUUUCGGGGACCCUUU